CGUAAGGGACAUCUCCCAAGGAGAGCAUCUGCUGUGCUGGAAACCAGCCAUCCACCCACACGCUCCUUCUCCACCCAGCUGUUCCAUCCAAAUAACCAAACCAAAGGGAGUGCUUUGAUUAAUCGGAGUGAUCUCAAAGGAAAAUACUCAAGGGGAAUUCAGGGACUGGAGAUUUAAUGGUUGCAGUUUUAUAAUCUUUAUCAGACCGUUGAGGCUGUAAUAGGAAGAUAGGAGUAAUCACCUCCAAGAUUUCUGUCACCUCAAUCACCCUUUGGGGGAAAAUCAUCACAAGAGAGCCUCUGGUCCACUCUCAAGUUUUGCCUUUAACUAAGCAAAAACAACAACAACAACAACAACAACAACAAAAGAACUUUGCUGAGGAUAUUCACUGCCAGAAUAACUUACAAAACAGUGCUCGUCAAAGUGUCACUGAGGUGUUCUCAGGUGUCCUAGCUAUACUACCACAUUAAGUAUACUAGUGUCUAGAGAGUAUGCCAAUAGCUUUAGAAAGAUAAGAGGGAUAAGUUUCAGUAGGAAAGUAGAUUGGUGGGUCUAAUCAAUCUUGACCUAUUUGAUUCAGAUAUUUAGCUGAAACUGAUUCAAAAAGUUUGUUCCUAGAUAAUUUGGGCUGGAAGUCUUGUGAAAUAGAUUCUUCUAUUGGGAGUUUCUUCAGUCACUUCAGUUCCUGAAAGAGUGAAAAAAUCUUUGUGAUGGCAUGACAGUUGUUUGGUUCUUCUUAUUUAUGCAUCUAGCAUCUGCUGGUGUGACUACAAUAAUGAAUAAAAACUUGAUCGUAUUUAUUAUAGUACUUAUG
rnacentral:lncRNA from 1 species